CGUAGAUGAGCCCUAGGAAUGAGGUAGGAGUAAUGAACCGCCGCAAAAGGACGAGGGAACUUAUUCUCAAGUAAAUCUCAUGUAUAUAAAUUGGAAUUAGGAAUCCAAUUGAUAUGAGGAGAGACCCGAAUCUAUUCUAGAUCGGAAAGUUAAAGUACUAAGGAAUAAGUCGAUACCUUUAGUAAUAGUUCUUUGAAAGCACCAUGACCAAGAAGAGGCGACGUGAGAACUCGAGUUUAGCAUGAAUGAG
rnacentral:lncRNA from 1 species